CGUACCUGCCUCUGGCUUCUGAUGGGUGGAGCUGCAGCGUUUUGCCCUCAUUACACAAGUGCAUGUGGUCCUCCUGCAUGCCUCCGUGUUACUCCCACAGACCUCAGCUACGUGAAAGAGCAGCAACGCUGCACCCCCUCCCUCUGCUGUGCCGCCUCCUAUCCUGUAAUUCUCCGUGGGUCAGACAUCUGUAAGCAUUUCUCUCAGACCACGAGAGGAAAAUAGAAAGUUGGAAGCUACAGGCUGUGAUUUGGGUGUGUAUAAAUAAAGUUGCGAGCAAAGGAAAAGAUGCUAAUAUGAUGGGAGUCCAGAAGGUGGGAGGUUGGCAGGAGCGGGACACCCAAGUCUUCAAAGACGGGAAAUGAGCUGCAGGAGGACAAACGGAGCCUCUCGAGGAUUUCAUGAAAGGCAUGAAAGGAAGUCGAAAGAGCCCUGAGACGAGCCCAGGUGGACGAGCAGGAGGACGAGCAGGACGACGGCCAGGAGUGGAAUGAGUAGAUUCCAGCCGGCUGCCAGGAUGUUGUACCACUUGGCCUUGUCCGAACACUCCUGAGCCAGCUGCAGGUUGCCCUGAGUCUUCUGGUCCCUGGCCUGCAAAGAUGCAUGUGCACAAAUUCACAUUAAAACAUCCAGAGAAGUCAGUUUUAACCAAUAAUGGAGAUAUGAAGAAUCUCUUCAGUGUCGUAAUUCUUGUUGGAGACCUGACGACUUUAAAGCUUUGCCUGUACCACAUAUAGGGAAAAAAAAUCUGAGUUCACUGUAAAUAAAGGAG